GACGAACGUUGGCGGCGUGCUUAAUACAUGCAAGUCAACUGAAGCAGUGGUAGCAAUAUCGCUGUGGAGGUGGCGCACGGGUGAGUAACACGUAGGUAAUCUGCCUUCAGGUCUGGCAUAACUCCGGGAAACCGGGGCUAAUAGCAGAUGAUGCAGCGGCUCGACAUCGAGACAGUUGUUAAAGCUAUGGCGCCUGAAGAUGAGCCUGCGUCUGAUUAGCUAGUUGGCGGGGUAACGGCCCACCAAGGCAACGAUCAGUAGCUGGUCUGAGAGGAUGGUCAGCCACACUGGAACUGAGACACGGUCCAGACUCCUACGGGAGGCAGCAGUAAGGAAUAUUGCUCAAUGGGAGAAAUCCUGAAGCAGCAACGCCGCGUGAGGGACGAAGGGCUUUUGCUUGUAAACCUCUGUAGUGAGAGAAAAAAAUCCCAAUCUUUGGGACAUGAUGGUAUCUCAAAAGUAAGCCCCGGCUAACUACGUG
rnacentral:rRNA from 1 species